CAGUGCAGCUGAAAUCCUAGAAGACCUCACAACUGUGUUAAAUUUUCACAGCUGACCACUUAAAGGCAGUUCUCUUCAAAUAAGAGAGUCUCACUCUCUCACCCAGGCUGGAGUGCGGUGGCACGAUCUCAGCUCACUGCAACAUCUGCCUCCCAGGUUCAAGAGAUUCUCCUGCCUCACUUACAUAGAUGAGUUUGAUAACAGUCAAGCUGAAACUAAAAAGUUUCCCAGGUGACAACCUCCCUCCUGCUGUCCAUGGCUGUGCAGUCUCCUGUGAUGGACCUUCCUGAUGAUGCUCACUCUCUUAGGGCAAUAUCCCAGGACCUCCAGCGGGGUACCGGCCUGAGUGUGGGCCUGAGCAGCCUGGCAGCCGGCUGUGCCAUCAUCUUCGUAGGGGGUGCCAGUGUGCGGGGCAUCGCCUAGCAGCCCCGACUAUUUGUGGGCAUGAUUCUGAUACUCGUCUUUGCCGAGGUGCUCGGCCUCUAUGGUCUCAUCAUGGCCCUAAUCCUCUCCACAAAGUAGCCCCUCUCUGAGCCCACCAGCCACAGAAUAUGAUGUAAAGACCACCCCUCCUCAUUCCAGAACGAACAGCCUCACACACACACACACACACACACACACACACACACACACACCCCGGGCAGCCGCCCCAAGUAGCUGGUCUUGUACAUUCACCAUACCCCAAGUACCCAUCUUCUGCUGCCCCAGCCUUGCUCUCAGUCUCCCGGUGCCGCGGACAUCUGGGCCCACUCAUCACCCCGCCAGGUCCCCGGCUGCCUCAUCCUCCUAGAGUGCUCUGUAUAUGCGAAUGAAUUAGAGUUGUCAUUUCUCUUCACUGGAUGUUUAUUUAUAAAGAUCUGGCCUGUUCCCGCAUCUGGGGAGUCGCCCUCAUCUCCCAGGUAUCUAGAAUGUUAGCUAGAGUGUCCCUUACGGCUUCCCGUUACAGAGACUUCCUGGGUGGAUCCGCUCUCACCAGCCCUUGCCUCUGCGCAGAGCUGUGGGCAGUAAACUUCUUGGAUGUGAGAAAAAACAAAAACAAAAAAUUAGAGAAUCUCUUUUAUCUUCCCUAGGAGUAACUGCAAUUUAAUUGUUCUUUCUCAGUUGUGUGUACAUAAAUGUGUAUAUGUGCUUAUGGCUGUGUGUACAAAAUAUACCUUUAUAAAACCACACAUUUCCCCAGCACUCCAAAGAGAAUCAGUGUCCAAUUUAAUUGCUGUCCUAGAUGUGUGUUCUCUCAACAACUGUCUGGAAAUGGUAACCAUGACACGUUACUGCUCCACAUUAAUGGUAAUCUGUCUACUGGCUUUUUUGAUCAGUCUAAUUGUUACCGGAAAGGGGUCCCAAUCUAGACCCCAAGAGAGGAUUCUUGGAUCUCGCUCAAGAAAGAAUUCUAGGCGAGUCCAUGGAGUAAAGUGAAAGCAGGUUUAUUAAGACUGUAAAGGAGUAAAAGAAUGGCUACUCCAUAAGCAGAGGAGCCCCAAGAGCUGCUGGCUGCCCAUUUUCAUGGUUAUUUAUUGAUUAUAUGCUAAACAAAAGAUGGAUUAUUCAUGCUUCCCCUUUUUAGACCCAUAUAGGGUAACUUCCUGACAUUGCCAUGGCAUUUGUAAACUGUCGUGGCGCUGGUGGGCGUGUAGCAGUAAGGAUGACCAGAAGUCACUCUUGUUGCCAUCUUGGUUUUGGUGGGUUUUGGCCAGCUUCUUUACUUGCAACCUGUUUUAUCAGCAAGGUCUUUAUGACCUGUAUCUUGUGCUGACCUCCUAUCUUAUCCUGUGACUUAGAAUGCCUUAAACUCCUGAGAAUGCAGCCAAGCAGGUCUCAGUCUUAUUUCACCCAGCCCCUAUUCAAGAUGGAGUUGCUCUGGUUCAAAUGCCUCUGACAUAAUUAUCUGUGGUUAGCUGUCUAUAUUAGUCCCUAAACUUCACCCUCUUCCAUUACCAACUCUGAACUGACCUCUAACUGCACAGAGUGAUAAGUCCUGCGUCAGGUAAAAGACUGAAGCUCCUCUGUAUUAAAAAGUGUCCUCUUUGGAAAAUCAGGAACUACUGCAGAGCUAUUGAAAGAAAAGCUAUGGUGUUCUGAACUUAAAAUUCCCUCCCUAAAAUUGCUAUGAGCUCUAAUUUCAGUCUCUUUCCUACUCUGAUCCCUUAUAUAGAGCAGAAGAUGGCCAGAGACUAGCUACUAGUCUUACUUAGUCACUCUUCAUUGAUCAAUUGUAUCAUUAGUUGAUGCAUUCAUUCAUUCACCCAUCAAAAACAGAUUUUGGAUGCCUCCUGCAGCCCAGAUACUACUUUGGAUCUCAGAAUAUAGCAAGAAAAUGUAAUGAUCCUACCUUAAUAAGGAGCUCACAGUUUAGUUGGAGGAGACAGAUGAAGAAAUCAAUAAUUAUACGCAGGAUGAUGAAUGUUAAUGAUAGAGAUAUGAAUACAGUAACAAGGAAACACAAAGAAGGGGAAAAGUUGGGAAGUGGUACUAAAGCAGAGAGCUGAGUCUUUAAAGAUAAAUAAAUUGGUCAGGCAAAUAAGGGAGAAAAAGACAUUUUGAACAUAGAAAAUAGCAGGGCAAAAGUGAGGAAGCAUGACAGAACAAAAUAUUCUUGAGAAGCUGCAAUGGGGAGUGUGUGUGCCCGUGUUUGUAUAUGUAUGUGUAUCUUGUGUAUCUUUCAGGGGAAGUUGGGAAGGAUUGAUCAGUGAUAAAAUUUAAAAAGUGAUCCAGGGUUUCAUCAUGAUGGGUAUGU